GGUGCUUGCACCUGGUGGCGAGUGGCGAACGGGUGAGUAAUACAUCGGAACAUGUCCUGUAGUGGGGGAUAGCCCGGCGAAAGCCGGAUUAAUACCGCAUACGAUCUACGGAUGAAAGCGGGGGACCUUCGGGCCUCGCGCUAUAGGGUUGGCCGAUGGCUGAUUAGCUAGUUGGUGGGGUAAAGGCCUACCAAGGCGACGAUCAGUAGCUGGUCUGAGAGGACGACCAGCCACACUGGGACUGAGACACGGCCCAGACUCCUACGGGAGGCAGCAGUGGGGAAUUUUGGACAAUGGGCGAAAGCCUGAUCCAGCAAUGCCGCGUGUGUGAAGAAGGCCUUCGGGUUGUAAAGCACUUUUGUCCGGAAAGAAGUCCUUGGCUCUAAUACAGUCGGGGGAUGACGGCACCGGAAGAAUAAGCACCGGCUAACUACGUGCCAGCAGCCGCGGUAAUACGUAGGGUGCAAGCGUUAAUCGGAAUUACUGGGCGUAAAGCGUGCGCAGGCGGUUUGCUAAGACCGAUGUGAAAUCCCCGGGCUCAACCUGGGAACUGCAUUGGUGACUGGCAGGCUAGAGUAUGGCAGAGGGGGGUAGAAUUCC
rnacentral:rRNA from 1 species